CGCCAUCUUGUUUCUUUACGUUACUAUUAAAAGGAAGAGGGCCGGAUUUCUCCGGUGGGUGCCAGGAACCCAUUGGCUGAACAAGGGAGGUGUGUACAGCAAGAUCCUACCACACAUUGUUUUUGGCACAAUAAGCAUCAUGGCUGCUGUUGUUAGCAUAUGGCUGCCAGACACCAGAAACAGCAAACUUCCUGACCUCAUCAGCCAGGCCAAACGCAUCAGAGGGUGUGUCGCUCUGCUGCUGUAAAAAGGAAACAGCUCCAGCCCAGUCAGACACAAUUCUGAAUAGAAUUAAGCAAGAGCGCCCUCUGCUGACUGAAAAUCGCGAAUCAAGAGUGCAGUGAAAAUGUGGUCCACGGCUGGAUUACCAGCUGAUUCAAGCAGGCAACAUCUCCAGGGCUCCAGAUCCAGCAACAGCACAUAUCGCAAAGAUAACAUA